AAUUUUAACACCAAAAUAAAAAUAACUGGUGUUAGAGAAUAAAAUCAUUCGGCUCAUUCGGUAUCACUGGAGCAGUUCAGCCAGCUGGCCCAAAGAGGAACAUAAACUUUAUUUAAUUUUUGUUUUUCUAAAAAAUGUCGAAAAUGUUGCUCAGAAAAAUAUACCAGGUUGGAUAUCGUCCCACCAACUGAUCUUCGCCGGGAUGGAAAUCCCCCUCGACGUGUACACCAUAAUCCUGCCCGACAUGCUUGUCCUCGCCGAGUUCAUGUACGGCGGCGAGGUGACCGUGCCCCUCCAACAGCUCGGCAGGGUGGUUGAACCUGCUCGGCGUCCAACCUGGUCACGGAAAUGGGAAAUUCCUCAUUGACAACUUUUACCAUCCGACUUUUCCUGUGAUGCAUGUUCAUCCACCUGCAACCAGGCCAUCCUCCCCGCAAGGGUCGAAAUCACGGUCAGACGAUGUACAACUCCAACAGGAUUUGGCCAGUGCUCAGCUCGACGAUGAUGACGGCGGAAACAUAACGGUCUUUCAAACUGGUUAUCGAUGAGAGUUUUGCCGAGUGUGAAAUUAAUUUCAACUGGUCUUCAGUGGAUGUGAUGAAUGAUGGCGAGAUGAUGGCGAACGAUCUAUAGUGCGGGAUGAAGGAAUUCCGGAUUCUGGAUCGGUGUCAGCUUCCGAAACGGUGCCUCCUCUCGACGCCGCUGUAGCGGACGACCAUCAAAAACAUGUCGUUCAUGAAGAAUAUAUCGCCAACCAAGAGCAUGUCGCCAGCCAAGAACUUGUCGCCAGCCAAGACCAUGUCGUCAACCAAGAGCAUGACGAAAAGCAUGUCGCCAACCAAGAAGAUGUCGCCCACCAAAAGCAUGUCGCCAACCAAGAAGUUGUCGCUAACAUGGAGCAGGUCGUCAACCAAGAACAUGUCGCCAACCAAGAGCAUGACAAAAAGCAUGUCGCCAACCAAGAAGAUGUCGCCAACCAAGAGCAUGUCGCCCACCAAAAACAUGUCGUUCACGAAGAGCAUGUCGCCAACCAAGAACAUGUUCCCCACCAGCACCACCAGGACGAGGAUGUUGACAUUGAUGUCGUAGGAAUUGAUCAGGAAAUCGAUCCUGGAAUGGAACUUGACGGGCAAUCCCACUCUGAAGCGAGCAUGGUGGGUGAUGGUGUCGUUGUUGGUCAAGACCAAAACCAUCCUCUCUCCCGAAGAUCCACCCGUUUGGCCACGACUCUACGAAAACUGGCCGCCACUCUACGAGACCUCGCUACGACUCCACGAAAAAAGCUCGCUGCGACUCCACGAAAACUCUCCGCCACGCUAGGAAAAUUCGCCGAGACUCCACGAAAAAAAUUCGCCGAGACUCGACGAAAAAAACUCGCCGCGAUUCCACAAAACUUCACCGCAACUCGAAUUCUUCGAAGUCACAAUAAGAGUGGGAACGUUUCUUCGACUGGAGAACGUCGCCUGACCCGAAGGUGGGAGGAGAUAGAAGAUGAAAGCGAUGAAGAUAGGAAACGACCACCAAAACGAAAACGGCCGUCCUCUGCAAAUCUGAAUAAUAAAAAACCGGCCAAGAACAUUGAUCUCUUUGCGUGACAGCAUUGUGGACAGACAUUCGUCUCCAAUUGGAAUUUAGUCGCUCAUACUCACACCCACACGGGUGAGAGGCUUUUCGGCUGCUUCUUUUGCGACGCCUCGUUCCGUCAAAAGGCCCACUUGGAGAAACAUACUACCGCCGUCCACCUCCCCCGUGAGGAGGAGUCGGAGUCGCCUAAAAUCAAGCGAAAGAAGCCUGUCAGAGGUAAAUAGUUCUAGGAUCUCGUUAAUUGUCUGUCCAUUCUCAACUUUCUGGAGAUACAGAAGAUUUUUAGUGCUGCUUCCUUUUCAAGAGCAAAACACCGACGACAUUUUUCACAAUUUUAUCGAGACCAUGGUCGGUGGGGGAAAAAGUUAUGUAAAAAAGUGUAUGAAAAUAUAGAGCUUAAAGUAUUUUUAGUUAUUUGCAGUAUUUUUUAGUUGUAGGGUUACUUUUACCAAUUUUUUGUACAGUUUCUCUCUUAAAUUAUUUACCAAGUUUCGACUAUUUUAUAAAGUUUUAACUAUUUACAAUGAAAUAAUGUGACUUGAAGAAUAUGCUUCCAAAUAAAUAUAGAGGACAAUAAAUCAAAUCUAAACAUGAAAUAGUACUUAAUAAUUCAUGACAUUUUGUGACCUGAUGAAAUUCAAAUUAAUUAGUACAAAAAUGUAUAUAGAUAAGUACCAUUAAACUACUAAAAUGAUUAGAAUUUAUAAGUACGUAUGAGAUAAGUAAGAAAAAAUGAGAGAUUAUUUACACUAGCUAGGUUUCAUUAAUGUUAUUUGCCAUUUACGUAUUUGCAAACAAUUAACUAACUAAAUAAGCUAUUAAAAUUAAUGAAGUUUCGUUGGUGUAAUGUAAACUUGGCUUACAAAAAUACUUAAUUUUGACUGAUUACAGUACUUACACGACAAAUAAAGAAAUGGUUAAAAA